rnacentral:rRNA from 1 species
UACAUGUGGGGCAAGCGUUGUUCGGAAUUACUGGGCAUAAAGGGUGCGUAGGCGGUUUGUUAAGUCACUGGUGAAAGUUUUCGGCCCAACCGGAAAAUUGCCUGUGAUACUGGCGAACUUGAGUGCGUGAGGGGUGGGGGGAACGAGCAAUGUAGCGGUGAAAUGCGUAGAUAUUGCUCGGAAGGCCGGAGCCGAAGGGGCCCCACUGGUACGUAACUGACGCUGAGGCACGAAAGCGUGGGGAGCAAACAGG